CCAGAAAUAGCAAAGGCAGAAAAAGCACACCAGACCAAAGAGAGCAUCUGUAGUGCCAAGAGCAGCAGAUAACAGAAGACUGGCUGAAGUGCUGUAAAGUACUGGCAGUUUGUACAGAAGCCAACAGAAGUAGGUAUCAGAGAGAGAUGUGCAUUCAAGAGGCUUAUUCACUGAGAAGACAAAGAAAGAGGAUGCUUGAAGCAAGUAGAUAUCCCUCCCAGAACUCCAUCUUCCCAUUUGUUUGGGAAAAGCUAAGAGAAGACAAAAGAAAUAGCAGUAUCUGGAAGAUGACAAGCGCAGAAAAGACACCAAAUGUAUCCCUGCUCAGGGAACCGGGGAAAAAAUAAUGAUAAAUAGGCAUGUGUACUAAAAAAUGUAUACAACAACCAGAAGAAAAUGGUCCCCUGAUCCAAGACUACGUAUCUUAAUUCAAAUAUGUGGAAUUUCUAUGUUUGCUAUAAUGAUACUUCCUGUACCAACUCCUGCAAUCAGCUGACAGGUCAGCACAAAGAAUCAGCUGUUAACUUGG